UACGGGGGGAGCAAGCGUUGUUCGGAUUUACUGGGCGUAAAGCGCACGUAGGCGGAUCGUUAAGUCGGGGGUGAAAUCCUGGAGCUCAACUCCAGAACUGCCUUCGAUACUGGCGAUCUUGAGUCCGGAAGAGGUGAGUGGAACUCCUAGUGUAGCGGUGAAAUGCGUAGAUAUCAAGAGGAACACCUGCGGCGAAGGCGGGUUGCUGGGCUGACACUGACGCUGAGGCGCGAAAGCUAGGGGAGCGAACGGG
rnacentral:rRNA from 1 species